AAAAAUUACGCGACAGCUUAUUUCCCUCUUUCCUUUUCCCCGUCAUUUUUCACUCUCCCUCCAUUUCAUUUCACAAAACCAAAACCCUAAUUCCUAAUCCGUGAAUCCCUUUUUCCCUAUUUCGUGAACCAAAUGAGGAGAGUCUGGAUCAAGAAACAAUUAACUCUAUCCUUUGUUCUAACAAAGGCGUUCUCCAGUUUUUCACUAAGCCAAGGGCUCCGCGCGCCGGAAAUUGCCUCUGGCAGUGGCGAAGGUCAAAACCUCCAAAUAAACAUAUCAAAUUGCUCGCCUUGACUCAUCUUCCACAAUCUAAAAUCUUCUUCCUCUGAUUUUUAACCAAAUUCUCAAACCGAAUCGAAUACCUAUGAACCCUAAUUCAGAAUUCAAAAUUAAACAUUGUGAAUGAGGAAUCAAAGCCUACAGUGUUAGGACUUUGAUUCCUC
rnacentral:lncRNA from 1 species